GGCUAUGAAAAAUGUUUGAAAGCAAAGAGAAACGGCCCAAUAGUCGAGGAGCUGGACAAGGACGACAAAAUAUUCCCCCUUUCAGCUCAGACCUAUUACAGUGGAAACUACACCAACCACCCCUACAAGUCAUGAUGCACCUCUGGAGACUGUCCUGGUGCCUGCGAUAGCAGACCGUGCACCAGCCCCUGCCUCUAUGCUAAUAAGUACACCAACUGUGCUGACACGGCCAAGCAGCCAGGGCUGCAGCAACAGUCAUGUCACCUCCUGGUGUCCUGUCUCCUGCAGGACUCAUCAGACGGUCUGAUCAGCCAGAGACAUGUUCUGACCAAUCAUCCUGAUAGACAACAACAAUCAUCCUGAUAGACAACAACAAUCAUCCUGAUAGACAACAAAAAUCAUCCUGAUAGACAACAACAAUCAUCCUGAUAGACAACAACAAUCAUCCUGAUAGACAACAACAAUCUCCUAAUAAACCUGGUCAUGACUAAGGUGUCCUCCAUCCUGCAAUAAAUAAUCAUCCUUUGGUUAAGUUGUAAAAUGCAAUUAAGGGACAAUACUUACUCUUUCCCUUUCAGGUUUGUGGCUGCUUCUCUGCCAGUCGUAUAAUGAAAGCAAUUUCUAAACUGUUCUCAGGUGACGUAGGGCAAAGAACCUAUGGUAAAUUCUCCCCUGGCACCCAAUGAUCUUGGCAAAACAGUACGCACAGGGACAAAACUGAUGACUUCAUCUGAGGUGUUAGGUGAGGGGGAGGGAUGAACCAACUGAUAGAGGUCUACUUUUGGUAGGGUCCAACAAGGAAAAGUAAAACUUCACAUACAAUGGAGCCACCCCAACAGAGCCCAACGUCAGAAAGGAUGACCCCCGGGGGCCUC
rnacentral:lncRNA from 1 species